UGCCCCCUGCCGCUCCCCUCCCAGCUGCAGCCUCCAAAUAGCCCCCGGGCGGCUCUCCAAGCCCCUGGCGAUGCUGCAGAGACCGUCGAGGCGAGGGAGAACAGGGCUUCGAAAGCCCAGGAAGGAAUAAUUGCCACCGGCUCUGCCCCACAGAAUAGCCCCGCGGGGAUGGAGGUUUAGUACCGAAUGCCAUCAUGUUUAAAGCAAUACCGACAGAGGACCGGCUUACUUUGCAGGAGGCCCCACAGUGCAGGGGCUGGCGGUCUGCCAGCACCGGGAGGAGGUUUUCCGGGCUGGGACACGUCUCAGCUGAGCUGUAGCCAUACGUGAGAACGCCCAGACACCCUUUCAGAAACCGUACAGUGGCUUUCCAUGGGGUGCAGAGCUGGAACCGGGGCUUCGUCUGCAGAUUGGGGCUGGCUUUUGGGUGGCAUGUGGCUCUGGAUCACGAAAAGCUGACUCUGAUACCAGAGCUAAUUUAGAAACAAAUGCAGAACGUCCCUGCAUACUUCCCCCCCCGCCUUAGUUUUAGCUAACAGAAACUGCUGGUCAUAUAACUAUGAUGGAGAUGGAUUGAGAUUAAUCUGUUUCAACCCAGAUGUGGCUGGACUGAAAUAGUGAGUAAAAAUAAAAUCAUCCUGUAAAUAAGAUGUUGAAAAUGGAAGAAUUGGGCAUCUGGAGCAAUAAAUGGUGUAAUUACUUAAGUACAGUGCUGAGCCUCUCUCUCUGCUGGCUAGAAAAAAACGUGGUGUUGAGGCUCUAAUCAGUGGAAAAAUGAACAUGUUGAAAUGGUUCUGCCAGAAAAUAGAAAUCCAGUUCCCUUCAAGAACAGCAGUGAAGUACAAAUGAAAAACAA